CUACACACCGAGGCUAUGGUGCUAAAACUAUUGCUCCUAGUAUGUAAACCUAUACAGCGCGUUACUGUACGGAGUACUGUUCACGGUUGUAACACUGUGGUAUUUGUAUAUCUACAGAAAAGGUGUAGUAAAAAUACAGUAUACCCUUCCUUUCGCUGCCUGACCGCUGCCAUCAUGGGUUGUAUGCAUGCUCCCAGGAAGGGCCUGUCCCAGUCGGCUUUGCCCUAUCGCCGUAGCGUCCCCACGUGGCUGAAGGAGCAGAUUUACAAACUGGCCAAGAAGGGCCCGACUCCUUCACAAAUCAGUGUGAUCCUGAGAGAUUCACAUGGUGUCGCACAAGUACAUUUUGUGACAGGCAAUAAAAUCUUAAGAAUCCUUAAGUCUAAGGGACUUGCUCCUGAUCUCCCUGAAGAUCUUUACCAUUUAAUUAAGAAAGCAGUCGCUGUUCGAAAGCAUCUUGAGAGGAACAGAAAGGAUAAGGAUGCUAAAUUCCGUCUGAUUCUGAUAGAGAGCCGGAUUCAUCGUUUGGCUCGGUAUUAUAAGACUAAGCGAGUCCUCCCUCCCAAUUGGAAAUAUGAAUCAUCUACAGCCUCUGCCCUGGUCGCAUAAAUUUGUCUGUGUGCUAAAGCAAUAAACGUGAUUUUUUAACAAAAAAAAAAAAAAAAAAAAAAAAAAA